AGGGAAUAUUGCGCAAUGGGGGAAACCCUGAUGCAGCGACGCCGCGUGAAGGAAGAAGGUAUUCGUAUUGUAAACUUCUGUCGCAGAUGACGAAAUAAUGACGGUAAUCUGUAAGAAAGCACCGGCUAACUACGUGCCAGCAGCCGCGGUAAAACGUAGGGUGCUAGCGUUGUCCGGAAUUACUGGGUGUAAAGGGAGCGCAGGUGGCAGUGCAAGUUGGAUGUAAAAUCUACGGGCUCAACCCGUAUAAGCAUUCAAAACUGUGCAGCUUGAGUGAAGUAGAGGUAGGUGGAAUUUCCGGUGUAGCGGUGGAAUGCGUAGAUAUCGGAAGGAACAUCAGUGGCGAAGGCGACCUACUGGGCUUUAACUGACGCUGAGGCUCGAAAGCAUGGGUAGCAAACAGGAUUAGAUACCCUGGUAGUCCAUGCUGUAAACGGUGAUUACUAGGUGUGGGGGCGAAAGUUUCCGUGCCGGAGUUAACACAAUAAGUAAUCCACCUGGGGAGUACGACCGCAAGGUUGAAACUCAAAGGAAUUGACGGGGGCCCGCACAAGCAGUGGAGUGGGUUGCCCCAUUCGGAAGCAACGCGAAGAACCUUACCAGGUCUUGACAUCCUGCGCAUAGUUAAGAGAUUAAUGAAAUCACUCUUUUAAAGUGACGUAUAGACAGGUGGUGCAUGUUUGUCGUCAGCGUCGUGGCGUGAGAUG
rnacentral:rRNA from 1 species